rnacentral:lncRNA from 1 species
UUCACAUCAACUCUUCCUCUUUUCAAGUGCUUUUACUCUAAAACCCAAAACCUCGUAAACAAACAAAACCCCACCAUGGCGGUCGGACUAUUGGCCGCCAUAGUCCCGAAGCCCUUCUGUCUCCUCACAACAAAACUUCAACCCUCUUCGCUCCUCACAACAAAACCCGCUCCCCUUUUUGCCCCUCUCGGUACCCGCCACGGCUUCUUUAAUGGCAAAAACCGAAGAAAAAUCAACUCUUUCACCGUAUGUUUUGUUUUAGAGGAGAAAAAACAAAGCACCCAGAUCGAGACUUUCACGGAGGAGGAGGAGGAGGAGUCGGGUACCCAGAUCUCGACUGCUGCCCGCGUGGCCGAGAAAUUGGCGAGAAAGAGAUCCGAGAGGUUCACUUAUCUCGUUGCUGCCGUCAUGUCUAGUUUUGGUAUCACUUCCAUGGCUGUCAUGGCUGUUUAUUACAGGUUCUGGUGGCAAAUGGAGGUACUUCAAACAAAUCACACAUGUCCUAAUGUUAUUGGUUGGUUGUAUGAACAGAAAAUUUCGCCCCUCUUUUGAUGAUGCUUACAUG